rnacentral:piRNA from 1 species
UGUAACUACAUAAAAAUCUUACGAGGAUUU